UGCACUCAUCAGAUGUGUGUUCUGAUAAGCUUGUCUUGGCUGCUGCUGCUGCUGACCAUGGAGUACUCUCUUCCUGCCUCAGAUCUCCCUUCCCACACACGACGACUCAGCAACAUCGAUCCAAUCCAUGGGGACUGCCUUGCCCCAAUCCGACGGCAACGGCGUCGAGGUCAACGCCAUGCCCGACCUGGAGAUCGGUCAAUCCACCAUGGAGAUCGGUCAAUCCACCAUGGAGAUCGAUCAAUCCACCAUAAUCAACAUACUACACUCCAUGGUACCAUAUGCUUCGCCACCGGUCGCAGCGCAGCUGGGGCGCACGCUGUGGGGGCUGGGCUCACUCACCCUUGUACUGGCCCUGACCACCGUGCUCCACCUUCCGGCCGCCGGACCUGUCUUCGCGCACUACAAGGCAGCAUAUUAUACCAUCCUUGCCUUUGUCCUCUUCAUCGCUGUGCCGCUGGAGCUGGCCACCGCCUUCUGCCUGCCGCGCUGCAGCGACGGGCGCCGCCUCCUCGGCUUUGCCAGGGGCCUCCUGCCUUGCGCUUACGUGCUGCUCCUCGUCGUCAUCUCCGUGGGAAUGCUAUUCUUGGAAGUUAGUCUUGUAGCAUACUUCAAGGAAAUGAAGCCAUUGGUUAUGAAGUCUUUGCUACUCAACCUUAAUUUGCUAUCUCUGGAGCUGUAGACAGUGUUGAUGUAUUGCUCAAGAUGUCUCACAGAAUAUGCAGAGCAAGACAUGCUCUGUUUUUUUAAAGGCUCGCUCUGCAUUUUUGCUCAGCGCGGCCACAGUUUCCACGUGGUCAGCAUCGACGUCUUUCUGAAGCAGCGCUCAGCGCGUCAGGUUGGGCUUCCCGCAGUAUGGCCUCUCCCACGAGGUGGUGCAGAUCCUGCGCUUGCUCGACGUGCUCGCCAAUGAGGCGCUCCGGCAGUGGCUCAAGGAGUACUCUAGCUGGCCCACCUUCCUGGAGUAUUACAUUGAUGGUGUCUCACAGAAAGAUGUGCUCUGCUUUCUUGAUUAACGCGGCCAUAGUUUCCAGGUGGUCUGCUUUGACAUCUGGCCAAAGCAGCGCUCAACGUGUCUGAUCGGCUUCCUGCAGUGCGGCUGUGGUUGCUCGACGUGCCCUUCGAGACGCUCAAUGUACUUGCCAACUAGGCGCUCCGAUAGGGGCGCAAGGAGUACUCCAGCUGGCCCACCUUCCCGCAGCUCCACAUCGGCGGCGAUUUCUUCGGCGGAUGCGACAUCACCGUCGGUAUGUAUAUGUGAGGCUCGCUCUCUGCCUUCCCUUCUCCCACGAUUACGGUUCCAAACUGUGAGACCCUCUGUUAUAGUACACGCGCAUGAUAUUCAUUAAUUAAUCUGACAUAUGUUAAGUCGAGUUCUCCUAUGAAUCUGUUAUGUGAGACACCUGUUUUGUUUAGCAUCAGGGCAUAGCAAUUCAUUCAUCAUUAAUCUGACAUAUGUUAAGUCGUUAGGCUAAUUUUUUGUUUGACCUCAGUUGUGUUUUCUCUUAGCUAUUUUUAUGGGAUUUUUGUCAAUUGUUAUUGGCAUGCUUUAUAGAAGUGCCGCAUCCAGGAAAGGUUGCCUUGGCCCACGUCGAAACCCCCCGUGCGAGGAGACGAGGACUCCCCGACGCGGCCUCCGCAAGCGGGGCUUCGUCCGGCCGCGCCCUCUGGCGGCGACAAGGCAGGGAGGAGGGAAGGAGGGAUGAGCGCAUGGCUUGAGGCGCCCUUGAGGAAUGUGAGCUCGUCCUUGCACAUCCUCGACUACAGUUUUGUCACUUGCUUGGGUGGUUGUUUGCCAUCGUCAUCGGUGUGGUUCGGGAUGUCGCAAGAGCAGAGGUGGGAUUUUCCGGUGCGAUUCUGGUCAAAUACAUGCAUAAAAUACAGCCAACUUCACGAAUAAAAAACCACAUAAUUUCAAUAAUUUUGGCCCGUAACUAAAAUCUGAUAAAAAAAUAAAAAAUUUGAGCCCUCAUCAAUUGAUUACUUUGCACACAACUAUUUGGAGAGCAAUAAUUUUGAUUUCGAUACCACAGCCGGAAUAUGUUUUCUAAACCAAACUAUGCAUGCAUGUUGCAUAGAUAUAAUAUUUAAGAUGAACAACUAUUUUAUUUAUUUGUGAAUAAAAGUUCAAAAUUCAAGAUCAUUGACUAUAAUAAUUAAGUUGACACAUUAACAGAGACUCUAGAAAAAAAUUAUUUAAAUGGGCAACAUUAGGAAGACGUAAUGCGUCAUAUCCAGAAUGCAGCAGGCGGAUUCUCAACUGGAUCAUCUUCGCCGUCAGCAUCCUCAGCAUAACGGGGCACAAGGUAGGAGCGGCCGGGUCGGCAUGGUGCCAUCACGAGCUCGCCGUCCCUACCAUGCUUAGCACAAAACAUGGUGACAUGGAGCAGGUGGUCAUUGCCAUUGUACAUGGUGCACCGGUUGCACUGACUAUCCUUGGCCCCUGCUUCCGCGAGCGGCACCACCGGUCUUGCCUCGACGAGGCAAAACCGGCCACGCCCAGUGUGGAGGAGCGCACAGCUUGAUGCGCCCUUGAGGAACGUGAGCUCCUCCUUGCAAACCCUCCACUCGGGCGUCGGCAAUGGCUCGGGUGGUUGAUCGCCGGCGAGGUUUGGGACCUCGCAGGAGCAGAGGUAGUUCAAGUCUUGGGUGUCGUUUCGGUAUCCGAUCCCAACCCACGCGUCUAGGUGACCAUCGUAGUAAGCACGACCAUGGAACGGCAUGGCCCAGUCGCCUCGGCGUGCCCACUCGCCGGCCCAUUGCUGCUCGGUGUCCAGGGAGAAGGUGGCGGGGCCGCGCGAGACGAAUAAGGUGCGUCCGUCCGGAUGCACCGCGCAUGACUGGACGUGGCCGCCGCCGCCGGCCGGGAGCGAUGGCGCAUCCUUCCAGGUCCACUCCAUGAUCUGUCCUCUCAUGCGUAGCAUGGUCCUGUCGUCGUUGUGGCUCUCGUAUCCGCCGUGCAACUCAACCACCUGCUGCUCGCUGAGAUAGUGCGGCGGACAGACGCUGCCGCCGCCGAACCUGUACAACUUGUUCCCGACGGCAGCGACGUGGCAGCUCCGGUGCGUGAAACUGGCAGGCGGAGGCUGCUCCAUGUCCAGCCUCGCCGUCUUGGUGUCGUAGACCAAGGUGAUUUCCUCAUGAUAAUCACCACGUCGUGUGCUCCCUGUGACGAUGAUCUUGCCGCCGACGGCUGAGAAGUGUGCCCAUGAACCGACCAAUGUAUAGCCCAGCCGGAGGACCGGCUCGGGCAGCUGACACGGCGGCGGCGUCUGCUGCGGCACACACUCCCGCCGUGGGCUGUCCAUGCCGGUGACCGCGUCCUCGUCGCCGCCGUCCAGGUCGUCCACGUCGAGUCUGUAGAUACUGUGCCCCGUCUUCAUCUCGUCCAGCACCACGUACAGAUGCCGCCUCUUCGUCGACGUACGCAAUGAGUUCGCAGCGUCGGCCUCACCGGCGCUGGAGGCGUAUGCACGUGGAUGUGUGACCAGAGUGUCGCCGGCGGCGGCGCUGCGUCCAGAAGGGCCGCGCCGGAUAUGGGAAAGUAGGGGCUGAGAUCGGGCGAGGAAGGAUCGCCACAUUGCGUCGUUGAUUGAUUAGUUGUUUGUGUCGAUGUGUGAAUCCAGUCCCAGAUCAUCAAAUUGUGACCACUUUGAUUGGCCUCCUAAAUUUUAGCAAGUGGAAGUUAGGAAUAAAAUAUAUUUCUGCUUAUCUAACUUGUCUGGUGUAACUACCAAAAUCUACCGUGUCUGCUAUAUUACUUGCAGCAAAAGAAAGGGCAUCAAAGAAUUCACAACUGGCUUCAGACAUUCCUGAUUUGGCCUAGGAUCUGUUUUGAUUGAUUUGACCUAGCUAGGAUAUCCUUGUUUUUUUACACGAUAUCCUUGUUACUAACUCGUGCGUUUCGGAGUUUAGGCCUGUUUGGUUCAUAAGUCCUAGGACUUUUUUGAGUCCCAACUUAUAAGUUCCAAGUCCCUAAAAAGUCCCUACCUGUUUGGUUCCUGAGACUUAUAAGUUUCUAUAAGACCAUAUUACAACUAUAAGUCCCUCCUUGAGAGUCUUAUUUUAUAAGUCUCAAAUGCCCACUUUAAGUCCCUAUAAGUCCCUCCUGUUUGGUUUAGAUGGGACUUAUAGGGACUUUUUUAAGUCCCUAAACCAAUAAGUCCCUGGAAACAAACAAUGUUCUCAACCAGGGUUGGUUACUAUUUUUUGCGGGGGAAAUAGUGAGAGCUUUAUUGCUUAAAGGCGUUUGCUGAACAGUCCGCCAACAGGCUGCUGAUCGGGAAGCUGGGAGUACUAUCGAUCCAGCUUUUGGUCAAGUCAAUUGUGCAAGCAUACUUAGCACAAAUGUGAGCAGGACCAUUAGCCUAUCUUACUAUAUGAUGAAUAUCAAAAAAAUUGAAACUACUAGAGAGCUCUCCAAUUUCUAACAAGAUAGGGACCAUGACUGAACGAGAGUUGUGGCGAGUGGUCCAGAGGUUGGCGACCUUUGAGCAGUCCUUCUCCACAAUGACGUUUGAAAAACCCCUCAAGCUUGCGAUGAUAACACCGUCGCGCACUGCCAUAGCCUCUGCAAUGAAGGGAUCCGUGACUCCGGGGUAUUGCUUGCUCCACGCCCCCACAAAGAAGUUGGAAGAACAGGAGACACCCGCACUCCUCCUUUACCAUCUUCUCUUUUUAUUGCUGCAUUCGUGUUGAUUGUGAUAAACCCUGGAUCAGGAGGGCGCCGCCCAUGUCCAGGCAUGACUAGUGCAAUUUGCCGUGGCACCUCCAGGAGAGCUAGCGCCUCCCUGGUGCGACGGACCGAGCUCGCCGGCUCCAGCUAAUCUUUGCCAUGAGAUAGCCUAUUCCGCGAGUGCCAAAUCGACCACAUGACCGAGACUAUCACUACUCGAUCUCUGGAGGUAAAUCGUUCAUCGCAAACGAUAUCCUUGGCCCAUGUUAAAGGAAGCACCCGCGACAGCCUGAAGUCGAACAACUGCUACGCCUCCUCCCAAAAUUGCUUAGCAUGAGAGCAUUUCAAAAGAGCAUGCUCAAGGUCCUCCUGUUCGGCCAUGCAAUCUUACAAAGAUUUUGCUUCCUAAUACGCCGGUGCAUCAGAGUACAUUCAUCUGGUAGUAUGCCUCGCAACACUUGCCAGAAGAAAACUCCCACCUUGGGCAGUACAUUCAGUUUCCACAGGUCAUUCCACAUCCGUUGAUUAUCUACUGAGGGUCCGGUAGCCCACCCUUCCUCUAGAGCUUGAAGCUCGUUACGAGUCACUAGAGCUCGAUACGCCGACUUGACGGUGUAGUUUCUUGAAACCUUGUGUGCCCAUGCUAAAAAAAUUGUCUCCACCUCCGAACGCAGCGGGAUGUUCAAAAUUGGUUCCGCAUCCGAAGUGAUAAAAGUGUCAAGAAUGAGCUCCCUCUACCAUGUCCAAUUAUCUGCGUCAAUAAGAUCACUCAUCAGGGUUACGUUUGCUGCCGGUGGAUGAAACAGAGGAGCCAAAGUGUGUGUUGAUGGUAUCCAUUUGUCAUCCCAGAUCGAGAUCGUAGAGCCAUCCCCCACUCGUUUGAUGAGCCCAGUGAGCAAGGCCUCCCUGCCCGCAAUAAUGUCCCUCCAAGUAGCCGAGGAGGAGCCAAGAACUGAAGCUUGCAUGAAGUCUAUGUCAGGAAAAUACCUGCCCUUGAGCACUCUUGCACAUAGGGUGUUUGGAUUGGUAAUUAGGCGCCAUCCUUGCUUACCCAACAGUGCCACAUUAAAAAGGUGGAGAUCCCAAAAUCACAUGCCACCUUUACAUUUAGGUGUUGCUAGUCCUUUCCAAGAUAUCCAAUGCAUAGACAGCUUGUCAAUCGAACUACUCCACCAGUACUUGGCCAAAGAAGAAGUCAAGGUCUUGCAUACCUUUUUGGUUAGUAGAAAGACACUCAUGCUGAAGGUUGGAAUUGCCUGAAUGAUGGAUUUCAACAGAGUUUCCUGUCUUGUGCAUGCAAAAAGUCUCUCUGACCAGCCCUGCAUUUUACGUCUAGAUCUUUCCCCUAUGUGAUCAAAAGUGUCGCUAGUGAUUUUACCCACCACGGUUGGGAGACCCAGGUACCUCUCACUAAAUGCCUCGACAUGAACAUCCAGUAUGUUCUUGAUAGCUUGCCUUCAUCCACGUGAUGUGUUCGGGCUAAAGAAUAUUGCACUUUUUUCUCUGUUAACACUGUCCCGAAGCCGCUCCGUAGAUGCGCACUAUACUGUUCAGUCUAGCCGCACUACCAGCGUCGGCCUUCAUGAAGAUGAGGCUAUCAUCCGCGAAUAGUAGAUGGUUGACCCAGGGUUGGUGACUGAAUCGUCAAUUUUUAGGGGGAGGGCAUGUGCGCUUACAGUGGUUACCCGAAAAUACCGUGCAUUUACAGCUCCAUUUUUUCCAAACAAAGUUUCUAAUUCUAUGUGGAUUUUUUGAGGGAAGACCAUCAUGGCUAGGUCGUGGGAAAGUAUACGGUGCUCCCAGCCUUGGGGUGCACCCGGUACUCCAAUGUCAAUAAACAUUUUUUUAAUGUUUCAAAAAAUUCCGAAAAAAAUUGUGAAUGUUCACAAUGAAUGUGACUACAAGCCCUAAAAAUUUCAGGUCCAAACUCGAAUCACAAAUUGACAAACAAAAAUGUGAAAUCUAGCAUGAAUAGUGUAAAGAAGAGACAAAAGCAACAUUGACACUAUUCAGAUCUGUAUUUCUCUUUUUUGUUUCUCAAUGUACAUUUUGAUUUUGGACCUAAAAUUUUUAGGGGAUGUAGUGACAUUCCUUGUGAAUGUUCUCUUUUUUUUUGGAAUUUUUUAAAACAUUUAAAAAUGCUUUUUGACAUUGGAGCACUAUGAGUACCCCAAGGUUGGGAGCACUGGAUACUUUCCCGCUAGGUCGUAUGAGCAGUUCUUAUUUAUCGCCUAGGUCACGUUUGUGGACCAAACACUCACCCCCUGGUGGUCACUAGGUCGAUGUUUGUGGACCAAACGCUCACCCCCUGGUGGUCGGUAGGUCCAGAUUGUGGACUAAAUGCUCACCCUCUGGAUUAGUCUCAUUUUAUAAUUUUCAUUUUCGUUUUUUAAUUUUAUGUUUUUUUUCAUUUUCCUUAUCAUUUUUAUUAUUCAUUUCGCAACAUUUACCCAAAUAUGGGAACAUUAAUUUAAAUCAUGAACAAUUUUUUUCAUCAAAAUUCAAACACAAAAUUCGAAUACAUGAAAGUUGCUCAGAACGACGAGACGAAUUCGAAUACAUAGUCCGUUCGUUCACCACACGUCCCUAGCAUAGCGAACGUGCAAUAAUCCACCUUCGGUUCAUCUGUCCGAAAACAUCAAACACCGGGAAUACUUUCCCGGAUGUUUCCCCCCUUAGCUAGUAAUGCCUAGUACUGCGUUAGGUCACCCCUAGCACCGCGUAUUGCCAUGUUAUGCUUUGUGUUGCUUUGAUUCCUCUGUUAUUUAUGGUGUUCCCCCUCCGUUACUUCUUUCCGGUAGUCCCCGAGACCGCGGUUGAACCAGUGAUCGACUACUUCACCUUCAAGGGUCCGUUUCUGUCUGCAGAGCAACCAGGCAAGCCCCCCCUUGAUCACCCGAUAUCACCUACUCCUUCUCUCUACUGCUUGCAUUAGAGUAGUGUAGCAUGUUACUGCUUUCUGUUAAUCCUAUUAUGCUGCAUAGCCUGUCAUUGUUGCUACAACUCUUGAUACCUUGCCUGCAAUCCUAAAUGCUUAGGAUAGGACGCUAGUUUAUCAUC